CAGCGGGACCGGGCCCCUCUGGCGAGCGAUGCAAGCGCUCGUGAUGUCGGACCGCAUCG
rfam:Caulobacter segnis ATCC 21756, complete genome.